ACAUCACCUGCAAGACAUGACUCCCAUGUGGCUCUUCCUCUUCCCGCUGUCAGCUCCCAGAUGUGUCCUGUCCCAGGUGCAGCUGCAGGAGUCGGGCCCAGAACUGGUGAAGCCCUCGCAGACCCUCUCCCUCACCUGCUCUGUCUCUGGAUUCUCCAUCACAACCAGUGGUUACACCUGGCACUGGAUCCGCCAGCCCCCAGGGAAGGAGAUGGAGUGGAUCGGGUAUAUAACUUAUAGUGGGAGCACUAACUACAGCCCUUCCAUCAAGAGCCGAACCGCCGUCUCCAGAGACACGUCCAAGAACCAGUUCUCCCUGCAGCUGAGCUCCGUGACCACUGAGGAAACAGCCCUGUAUUACUGUGCAAGAGACACAGUGAGGGGA